AACGAACGCUGGCGGCAUGCCUAACACAUGCAAGUCGAACGAGACCUUCGGGUCUCGUGGCGCACGGGUGCGUAACGCGUGGGAACCUGCCCUUAGGUUCGGAAUAACUCCCCGAAAGGGGUUCUAAUACCGGAUAAUGUCUUCGGACCAAAGAUUUAUCGCCUUUGGAUGGGCCCGCGUUGGAUUAGCUAGUUGGUAGGGUAAAAGCCUACCAAGGCGACGAUCCAUAGCUGGUCUGAGAGGAUGAUCAGCCACACUGGGACUGAGACACGGCCCAGACUCCUACGGGAGGCAGCAGUGGGGAAUAUUGGACAAUGGGCGAAAGCCUGAUCCAGCAAUGCCGCGUGAGUGAUGAAGGCCUUAGGGUUGUAAAGCUCUUUUACCCGGGAUGAUAAUGACAGUACCGGGAGAAUAAGCGCCGGCUAACUCCGUG
rnacentral:rRNA from 1 species